rnacentral:rRNA from 1 species
GGCCACCUACGGGACGCAGCAGUGAGGAGUAUUGGUCAAUGGGCGGUAGCCUGAACCAGCCAAGUAGCGUGAAGGAUGAAGGUUCUAUGGAUUGUAAACUUCUUUUAUAAAGGAAUAAAGUGAGGCACGUGUGCCUUUUUGUAUGUACUUUAUGAAUAAGGAUCGGCUAACUCCGUGCCAGCAGCCGCGGUAAUACGUAGGAUCCGAGCGUUAUCCGGAUUUAUUGGGUUUAAAGGGAGCGUAGAUGGGUUGUUAAGUCAGUUGUGAAAGUUUGCGGCUCAACCGUAAAAUUGCAAUUAAUACUG